rnacentral:rRNA from 1 species
UCGCCUGUUUAUCAAAAACAUCGCUCUUUGUAAAUAUAAAAUAAGGAGUCGUACCUGCCCGGUGAAAAAUUUAACGGCCGCAGUACCCUGACUGUGCAAAGGUAGCAUAAUCAUUUGCCUUUUAAUUGAAGGCUGGAAUGAAUGGUUUGACGAAAUUCUUCUGUCUCUAUCUUAUUAAAUAGAAUUUAAUUUUUAGGUGAAGAAGCCUGAAUGAAGUCAAAAGACGAAAAGACCCUGUCGAACUUUAGAGUAAUUAUAAAAUUAUAUGCUUUUUAGAAUAAAUGUUUUUUAGAAUUUCUCUUUUGUUGGGGUGACAGAAGAACAGAUAAAGCUUCUUUUAGUUGAGGAAACUUAUAUGUUGAAAAGAUCCAUAAAAAUUUAUGAUAGUAAGAUAAGUUACCGCAGGGAUAACAGCGUUAUUUUUCUGGAGAGUUCAAAUUGAAGGAAAAGAUUGCGACCUCGAUGUUGGAUUGGAAUACCUAAUAGGCGGAGAAGCUUGUUGUUGGGGGUCUGUUCGACCUUUAAAUUUCCACAUGAUCUGAGUUCAGACCGG